rnacentral:rRNA from 1 species
UGGGGAAUUUUGCACAAUGGGGGAAACCCUGAUGCAGCGACGCCGCGUGAUUUAGAAGGCCUUCGGGUUGUAAAAAUCUUUUUUACGGGAUGAAAAUGACAGUACCGUAAGAAUAAGGUCCGGCUAAAUACGUGCCAGCAGCCGCGGUAAUACGUAUGGACCGAGCGUUGUCCGGAAUCAUUGGGCGUAAAGGGUACGUAGGCGGCCUAGUAAGUUAGAAGUUAAAGAAUAUAGCUCAACUAUAUAAAGCUUUUAAAACUGCUAGGCUUGAGAGAUGGAAGGGAAAGUGGAAUUCCUAGUGUAGCGGUGAAAUGCGCAGAUAUUAGGAAGAAUACCGGUGGCGAAGGCGACUUUCUGGUCAUCAUCUGACGCUGAGGUACAAAAGCGUGGGUAGCAAACAGG